rnacentral:rRNA from 1 species
AUUGACCGCUGGCGGCCGACCUACUACAUGCAAGUCGCGCGGCGCGGCGGACGGGUGAGUACUGCCUAUGAAUCUGCCUGGCAGUGGGGGAGAACGUCCGGGAACGGGCGCUAAUACCGCAUACUAUCAGAUGAGCCUAGGUCGGAUUAGCUAGUUGGUGGGGUAAAGGCCUACCAAGGCGACGAUCCGUAACUGGUCUGAGAGGAUGAUCAGUCACACUGGAACUGAGACACGGUCCAGACUCCUACGGGAGGCAGCAGUGGGGAAUAUUGGAAAAUGGGCGAAAGCCUGAUCCAGCCAUUCCGCGUGUGUGAAGAAGGUCUUCGGAUUGUAAAGCACCUGCAGCGGGGAGGCGUUACCCGCAGAAGAAGCACCGGCUAACUCUGUGCCAGCAGCCGCGGUAAUAC